rnacentral:rRNA from 1 species
AUACAGAGGGUGCAAGCGUUAUCCGGAAUUAUUGGGUUUAAAGGGUCCGUAGGCGGCUAGAUAAGUCAGUGGUGAAAUUCUCUCGCUCAACGAGAGACCUGCCAUUGAUACUGUCUUGGCUAGAGUUACAGUGAGGUGAGUGGAAUGUGUAGUGUAGCGGUGAAAUGCAUAGAUAUUACACAGAACACCGAUUGCGAAGGCAGCUCACUAACUGUAUACUGACGCUGAUGGACGAAAGCGUGGGGAGCAAACAGGAUUAGAAACCCGUGUAGUCC